GGUUAACUCGUCUAUUGAUUGAUUUUAUUUUAGGCAUAGAAAAAGUGCACUAAUUGGAGUAAUACUUGGUAGUGAAUACUGCAAACUAUACCUACAUGUAAACUUGCGGUAACCCAGUUGUCAAGCGUUAAAGUCGAGUUGCCACAUAACCCAAGGCAUCGUACGCCAUCUACUCUAGAUGCCUAAUUAAGCUUAGAAUAUAUUGCUCCGAUUCGUGCGUUUUUUUUUAUUUCACCGACUAUGAUUUUGAGUAAAUAUACUUAAUUUAUAAUGUAGAAUUUAGCAUCCGCAAGUCGAUGUAUAUUUUAUAAAACUUUAGUACAUAUUUCGUUGUGCUUGUUCAGUUUGCUUGGCGGCUCCAUCAGUGCGACAUGUCAUUCCAUCAGGUAGUAAGCGGUGAGUUUACGAAAUUAUGGCGGAGAGGGAUUUUAGCCCGCUCUUUUAUUUAUACAUACCUAUUUAUAAGUAGAUAUUUAAAUGAAUGUGUGCAAUAUAAUCAAAUGUUACGUUAGGUGUAGAGUCAAUAUACAUUGCGAUGCUGUAGGCUUGGCGAAGCAAGGGUAUAAUUGCCGGAGUGUUUUGUUAUUAUAAUCCCAGAUUGGCUUGUUCAUCAAACUCGAACAAUUACAUAUUCAUAUGGGAAAAGAAAGUUUCGUGAUGUGUGCA